rnacentral:lncRNA from 1 species
CUUGUGUUAUAUCCGUUGGCUGGACAAAGGCAUUGGGGGAUACCAAUGUGGAGCAGGUGUUCGCCAACACCAGGCGUCCCAGGAGGAAGGGAGAAGAUGCACAAAGAAAGAGAAAAA